rnacentral:rRNA from 1 species
GCAGUGGGAGCACAGAGCAAUCUGUGUGACUGCGUACCUUUUGUAUAAUGGGUCAGCGACUUAUAUUCUGUAGCAAGGUUAACCGAAUAGGGGAGCCGAAGGGAAACCGAGUCUUAACUGGGCGUUAAGUUGCAGGGUAUAGACCCGAAACCCGGUGAUCUAGCCAUGGGCAGGUUGAAGGUUGGGUAACACUAACUGGAGGACCGAACCGACUAAUGUUGAAAAAUUAGCGGAUGACUUGUGGCUGGGGGUGAAAGGCCAAUCAAACCGGGAGAUAGCUGGUUCUCCCCGAAAGCUAUUUAGGUAGCGCCUCGUGAAUUCAUCUCCGGGGGUAGAGCACUGUUUCGGCAAGGGGGUCAUCCCGACUUACCAACCCGAUGCAAACUGCGAAUACCGGAGAAUGUUAUCACGGGAGACACACGGCGGGUGCUAACGUCCGUCGUGAAGAGGGAAACAACCCAGACCGCCAGCUAAGGUCCCAAAGUCAUGGUUAAGUGGGAAACGAUGUGGGAAGGCCCAGACAGCCAGGAUGUUGGCUUAGAAGCAGCCAUCAUUUAAAGAAAGCGUAAUAGCUCACUGGUCGAGUCGGCCUGCGCGGAAGAUGUAACGGGGCUAAACCAUGCACCGAAGCUGCGGCAGCGACACUGUGUGUUGUUGGGUAGGGGAGCGU